rnacentral:misc_RNA from 1 species
GAUGAAGAACGUAGCGAAAUGCGAUAAGUAAUGUGAAUUGCAGAAUUCAGUGAAUCAUCGAAUCUUUGAACGCACAUAGCGCCCCUUGGUAUUCCGAGGGGCAUGCCUGUUCGAGCGUCAUUAUAACCCCUCAAGCUCAGCUUGGUGUUGGGGCCUGCCGCACGGGCAGCCCUUAAAAUCAGUGGCGGUGCCAUCUGGCUCUAAGCGUAGUAAUUCUUCUCGCUAUAGAGUCCCGGUGGAUGCUUGCCAUUAACCCCCAAUUUUCUAUGGUUGACCUCGGAUCAGGUAGGGAUACCCGCUGAACUUAAGCAUAUCAAUAAGCGGAGGA